GCACCUGUGUUCCUCAGAACAGUGAAAGUGUUCAGUUCUAGUCCAGUCGGAACCAGAUCGUAGUUUGAUUUUGGUCAUUUUUUUUGUAUUUUUGAGUCACCCGCUCCAGCAGAGGGCAGCCAAGGUGUUGACUCAACAUUGGUCAACAUUGGUUUCUCUGCGUUCCUCCCACUCACCUGACACUGGAGUCCAGUGGAGUUCAGGUGCUCGUCCCAAUCCGACAGGUCUUGGUCUUCACCGCUGCCUGAUGAGUGCUGCGAUCGGUCCACGCCCCUCACAACGACCCGUUAAAGAGAUUAAUGAUGAAUAUUAAGCACUGCUUUAACUCAUCACCGGCUUUUAACUUCCUUAACCACCACUGCCCGCUGUAUCGGUUUAGGUUGAUAUUGGAAUAGUUUCAACAAUAUCAAAUAAAUAAAUCAAACACAGGAAAAAGGCCUCCAGACAUGAGUUUAGAAUCUUCAUGAGUUUGGAAACACGUCAGGAAGUUGAUGGAGAAAAAGAUGGAGAAAAAGACUUCCUGUCCUCCAGACCCAGACCUGGAGAGAGAUGAACUGAACCUGUCACAAAGGUUGGAGUUUUCCCAGCAUGCAUCAGUAGGACCAACCCGCCCCUCCUCUCUGUGGUAAGCACAGCUACGUCUGAACCUCCUUCAUUUCCAGCUGCAGCCAUGGGAACCACGUCUCCAGCCUGGACUGGACUUCUCCUGCUUUGUUUGACCUCAUAUCCAGUCAGGUGUGAGAGCCUGACGCGGUCCAAGUUCAUCGUUGUCAAAAGAACGGAGACGCUCCAGAUCCACUGCAGCUACAACCACCUGACAGGCACCGUGAUGCAGCUGAUGUGGUUCCAACAGAAAGAGGACGGACGGUUGACGUGGGUCGGGCAGGUCGACAGCACGGGUCGGAAGGAGUUGAACCCUGAAUUUUCAGAAAAUGUCAAGAUUACCACUGAGGUGACAGGAAACACGACUCUGAUCAUCUACACACCGUCGUCCUCAGCCGUGUAUUACUGCGCUGCACGUACACAGUGAGGAGCCUCGGUUUGAGCCACUGACAAAAACCCUCUCACAGAUACUAAAUAUUUACUGUGUUCUCCAUCUGGAAUAACAACAAUAAUAAUUCUGAAGAUUAAAUAUUAAAUAUUAAAACACAGUUCCCAAAAAAUGCUUAAAAAAGA